CUAUUUUUUUUUUUUAAUGCUUCCUUGAGACCUCUGUACACAAUCUCUCCAUUGCUGUAGUCACAACAUAGCUUUAUAUCUGCUCUUGUGUCUCCUCUAGGCAGUAGGUUCCUUGAGGGCAGAGACCAGGCCUCUUCACCUUGGCAUCAUUACUGCCCUGUAUCAUCCCUGACUCAUUGGAAGAGAGCUGACUUAUUGGGAAAAAAAAAACAAAAAAAACCAAAAAACCUGAUGCUGAGAAAGAUAGAAGGUGUGGGAGAAAGGGAUGACAGAGGACCAGAUGUUUGGACGGCAUCACCGACUCAAUGGACAUAAGUUUAAGCAAGCUCUGGGAGAUGGUAAAGGACAGGGAGGCCUGGCAUGCUGCAGUCCGUGGGGUCACAAAGAGCUGGACAUGACUGAGCGGCUGAACAACCACAAAUCAUCCCUGACAGAUAGCAGAAGCAGAAUCUUCAGCCCUGCUCCAGACUCAGAGCCCAGGAGGCUCAAACUGCAGGCCUUCCCACACACCUGUGUCUUUAUUCCACCCACCAUCCAAGAAAGACAGAUUCUCCAAACUUCCAACACAAACAGAACAGUGUUUUCUUGCCUCUGGAGUCCUUGAGCAAUGUUUGGCUGAGAGACCCAUGAGAGGAGUGUUACAAGUGUGAUCUCGGCAGGCUGGGUGCCUAGGACUGCCUCCUUCCUGCACCGGCUCUCCAGCCUGGGCCCACGGCCAAGAGCACCAGAGUUCACCAGAAAGACAAACACUGAGACGCUCCCCAAACACUUGGACUUUAAUUUGCUUCAUGAAAUGCCAGGUUAUUUUCUUUUUCUGGCAGAAUUGGUUGCGCCUCCUCCAAUCUCACAGUCCUGCUCCUGGUAGCAGUUUUCUCGGAAUCUCACCAGUUCAAUUUCAUCUAUCUAUCUAUCUAUCUAUGCAUGCUGUGGUUGUAUCUGCUGUUGCUGCUCCUAAGUCACUUCAGUCGUGUCCGACUCUGUGCGACCCUAUAGAUGGCAGCUCACCAGGCUCCCCCAUCCCUGGGAUUCUCCAGGCAAGAAUACUGGAGUGGGUUGCCAUUUCCUUCUCCAAUGCAUGAAAGUAAAAAGUGAAAGUGAAGUAGCUCAGUCGUGCCUGACUCAGCGACCCCAUGGACUGAAGCCACCAGGAUCCUCCAUCCAUGGGAUUUUCCAGGCAAGAGUACUGCAGUGGGGUGCCAUUGCCUUCUCCGUGGCUGUAUCUACCUAUGUAUAUAUGUGUCCAUAACUAGCUAUUGAGUAUAUCUAGCUAUAUGUGUUUGUAUAUGUGUUGUAAUCUAUAUAUGUGUGUAUAUACAUAUAUUGCUGUAUAUAUGCAAGGUGUAUAUUCUGUGUGUUCUCUGUAUAAAUAUACUGGUAUUAUAAUAUGUUGCAGAUUAUGUAUUGUAGCAAUAUAUAUUGUGUAUGUUCCCUCUCUGUCAUGUCUGACUCUUUGCAACCCUGUGGACUGUAGCCCAUGAGACUCCUCUGUGCAUGGGAUUUCCCAGGCAAGAAUACUGGGGUGCGUUGAAACACGAGAUGGAUGAUGGCAGUUCUCUGCUGAAACUCUGCUGUGGCUACCCAUGUCACUAAAUAAAAGAAGAAAUCCUACCA
rnacentral:lncRNA from 1 species